CUGUCGCGUCGCUGGAUUUUCACUUUAGGACCUGAACGCAGGGCUUACUUACUUCCUACUGUAGAUGGCACUUUUCUCUGAGGACUCAUGCCUCACUCAUUUCUGGAACAAUUUAUGCCGAGGAUCAGUAAGUAUCGAAAAGGCCUGGGUAGGUCCUUGGUAGGUAAACGGGAAGCUUACCUAAGGGCGCCGAACUUGCUUUCCCAUCAUGGAGCCUGAGGAAAAGUAUAUUGUGAAUCCUUAACAUGUUUUGUUUUCGUUUUUUCGUUUUUUCAUUUUUGGUUGAGAUGUGGGAUAGAAGGAAAUCAGAUGUUGACAGAGCCAGCCUUAAAUGGCAGCAUGUCUCAUACAAUGCCAAUCUUUACUCAAAAAAAAAAAAAAAAAGACUUGCUGUAUAAGUCACAUGCAAUAUAUUAUUAAAGGACAUAAUAAACUCAAGUUAGAAAUAAGUUAAUAAGAUAAUAACUAAAGUUAGAUACUAAGAAUCCUAAUUCCUGUUGAAUUCAGAGAAGUGGACAUGCUACACCAUUCGUUUGGAGAGAAUGAAAUUCACUUAAUAGUGACCAUUCAUUCACACAAUUACACACUUUAUCUCUUACGGUAUUUUCCUAGAACGGAAAUGACUUUAGAACAUUUUCUCACAGAGACCAUCUCUCCAGGGUUGUUUCUUUGCCUGAAGAUAAGAGGACACAAGUGGGUGACCUUCACAUUUUUUUCUCUAUGGAAUUGCCUGGUGCAGACAGAAAAACCCAACUGCAAAAACCCAACAAAGCACACCCUGAUGCCAUUCGUUUUAAUCCAGUGUGACUACAUUCCCAGCUCUAAGCUAGAGGUGCAGAGCCCUAUUUGAAGGACCCACACGGUCUGCCCAAAGGUCAUCCUUUCCUCCGGGUCACAGUUGUACUGGAGGAAAAUGGGAAUUCCAGCACACCCCAAGAAGGUUCAGAUUGGUGGUGCGUUUUAUGAUCCUGGGUUUCUACACUGUUCCCCCUGUAUGCAGCAUUUGGCUUUUGCUUAUCUCUGACUUAGCCAGUCUUGGAGAAUUGAGCAAUGAUGCCAGCUGGCGCACAGUUGAGCCUGCAUCAGCAUCGAUGCCAGUGGCACCACAGUGCGUCUCCGUCUUACUAACGUGCCUCAUACAGGCGUUCAACGUGUGUGCCGACAAAGGAGAGCUGACAGUCAUCCUCCCAGUCAGUGAGUAUGCUACCACAGUGACCAAAAGCAAAUCAAGAGAUUCCCAACUGCCAGUGAUAAGUAAAGAUGGCCAUGGCUUCCUGCUGGUGGAACCAAGAGAUCCUAACUGCCAGUGAUAAUAAGCACUCAGUCAGUGCAUUACCACAGUGACCAAAAACAAACCAAGAGAUAUCAGUAAGGAUGGCCAUGGCUUCCUGCCGGUGGUUUCGGAUGAAUGCUUUGGGCCAGAACACUCUGGGUUCUAAACACAAUCAAACACUAAACUCACUCUCUUGGAGAUGCUUAGGAAAGACGUGCAGCAGCUGCCAGCCCUGAUGUGAAGGAUAAGAGCUAUAACUGGAUACUUGGUUAAAAUUUUAACAUGUUCACAAAACUCCCACCUCCUAUUUAUAUGUCUGAAUGGAUUUUUUCAUACCUCUGACAUUCGUGUGACCUUUUCCAAGAUGAAUGGCCAGUACCUGUCUUGUCUUUGAACACACCUCUUCCUGUAAAUCUAACCACUAACAUAACCUCCAUAACAAAUUUACUUUUCUUUCUUUUGUUUUUUGUUGUUGCUGUUUUUUUUUUUUGAGCUGUAAUUUUGUGCUACUUUUUAAAGUGGUUUAAAUUGGGAGGUACACUCUCUAGUACACCUGACAGGCCGUUGUAUGAAGAAUAAGCCUGAAAUCUAUAACUCAGGGAAGAGAAGGCGGAAACAGUACAGAGGAGAGACACCAGUAAGGUACGAGGCUCAGGGCUGAGGAGGAAAGAGCAGACAUAUGCUCUGAUAGUAAAGCGUUGGGGAGCCAAGGUGACCUAACUGGGGAGGGGUGGCACACUCAUCAAAAGUCUGGGGCUGGUUUUAGGGAAAAGGCAUGCGCCCAGUGUUGGAUACCCUGAGUUUCAGUGUGUAUGUUGCAAGGACAUAGACAAGACUCAGGGUAAUGAGACAUGGAAGUGACAAUUCUUUGUUGAUUGGCAUCUGGGGGGAGGAUAUGGAAAAGAGACUAAGGUAAGAGUGAACUAUCAGGACUGUGGCCGGAACAAGCUGGGGAACAGUCAGCAGUCGCUAUCCCGGGGAGGGGUGGGGGGAGGGCUGCAUGGUGAGUGUCACGUAUGCUGAGCUUGAGAUGGCUUUGAGAACUCCAAGAUGCUAUGGGCAGCUGCAUACGUGGCUUUGAGAUAAAACUCGUGGAUUGCUUUUUGAAGAUGAAUUCUGUAAGAUGAACACUGCCAAGUCUGAAGUGCUCCCCAGAGUCUUAGCUCUUCUCUUGUUGACCAGGGUUAAUAGGCCCUGAGAGUGAUCUCCAAUUAGCCCAUGGUUAAUUGCCGAGAGGGAAGCAUCAUUUGUGGCUUCGUGAAGGUUAAAGAAGACAUCAGCAUUUUGUCAGCAUCACAAUGGCAUCAUGCCAGACUUAGAAGCCACUUCAGCCUGUAUGACAUCAGUAAUUAUUCAUCUAAGUCUUAAAUGUGAGGCAAUUCCUUUCUAUAAGAAAGGAAUCUUAAAUUUAUUCUUUAAAAGUAUUUCUUCUCAACUGUGACAAGAGAAAAAAAAAAAGUCUAUUCACCUCUGACAAAGAGGCCACUAGCCAAAGAAAAAUAUUCUCUUCAACUUAGCUUGGUAAUUGAUCAGAGCCAAAGUACUAAAUAAAACGAUUUUUAAAAAGAUGUUCA
ensembl:lncRNA